rnacentral:rRNA from 1 species
CCGGAUGACACUCUUCCCUGCAUGGGGGAGGGUUGAAAGCUCCGGCGGUGAAGGAUGAGCCCGCGGCCUAUCAGCUUGUUGGUGGGGUAAUGGCCUACCAAGGCGACGACGGGUAGCCGGCCUGAGAGGGCGACCGGCCACACUGGGACUGAGACACGGCCCAGACUCCUACGGGAGGCAGCAGUGGGGAAUAUUGCACAAUGGGCGAAAGCCUGAUGCAGCGACGCCGCGUGAGGGAUGACGGCCUUCGGGUUGUAAACCUCUUUCAGCAGGGAAGAAGCGAAAGUGACGGUACCUGCAGAAGAAGCGCCGGCUAACUACGUGCCAGCAGCCGCGGUAAUACGUAGGGCGCAAGCGUUGUCCGGAAUUAUUGGGCGUAAAGAGCUCGUAGGCGGCUUGUCACGUCGGUUGUGAAAGCCCGGGGCUUAACCCCGGGUCUGCAGUCGAUACGGGCAGGCUAGAGUGUGGUAGGGGAGAUCGGAAUUCCUGGUGUAGCGGUGAAAUGCGCAGAUAUCAGGAGGAACACCGGUGGCGAAGGCGGAUCUCUGGGCCAUUACUGACGCUGAGGAGCGAAAGCGUGGGGAGCGAACAGGAUUAGAUACCCUGGUAGUCCACGCCGUAAACGUUGGGAACUAGGUGUUGGCGACAUUCCACGUCGUCGGUGCCGCAGCUAACGCAUUAAGUUCCCCGCCUGG